rnacentral:rRNA from 1 species
UACAGAGGUCCCGAGCGUUGUUCGGAUUCACUGGGCGUAAAGGGUGCGUAGGCGGCGUGGUAAGUUUGAUGUGAAAGCUCAGGGCUUAACCCUGAAAUGGCAUUGAAUACUACUAUGCUGGAGGUUUGGAGGGGGGACUGGAAUUCUUGGUGUAGCAGUGAAAUGCGUAGAUAUCAAGAGGAACACCAGUGGCGAAGGCGAGUCCCUGGACAACACCUGACACUGAGGCACGAAAGCUAGGGGAGCAAACAGG